GAGUUUGAUCAUGGCUCAGAACGUACGCUGGCGGCACGCCUAACACAUGCAAGUCGAACGAAGUAGCAAUACUUAGUGGCAGACGGGUGAGUAACAUGUGGGUAUCUUCCCUUUGGCCUGGAAUAACACGAGGAAACUUGUGCUAAUACCGGAUAAGUCUUUACGGAGAAAGCUUUAUGCACCAUUGGAUGAGCCUGCACUUGAUUAGUUUGUUGGUGGGGUAAUGGCCUACCAAGACUUUGAUCAAUAGCUGAUUUGAGAGGAUGAUCAGCCACAUUGGGACUGAGACACGGCCCAAACUCCUACGGGAGGCAGCAGUGGGGAAUCUUGCACAAUGGAGGAAACUCUGAUGCAGCGAUGCCGCGUGAGUGAAGAAGGCCUUUGGGUUGUAAAGCUCUUUCGUCGGGGAAGAAAAUGACUGUACCCGAAUAAGAAGGUCCGGCUAACUUCGUGCCAGCAGCCGCGGUAAUACGAAGGGACCUAGCGUAGUUCGGAAUUACUGGGCUUAAAGAGUUCGUAGGUGGUUGAAAAAGUUGGUGGUGAAAUCCCAGAGCUUAACUCUGGAACUGCCAUCAAAACUUUUCAGCUAGAGUUGAUAGAGGAAAGCAGAAUUUCUAGUGUAGAGGUGAAAUUCGUAGAUAUUAGAAAGAAUACCAAUUGCGAAGGCAGCUUUCUGGAUCAUUACUGACACUGAGGAACGAAAGCAUGGGUAGCGAAGAGGAUUAGAUACCCUCGUAGUCCAUGCCGUAAACGAUGUGUGUUAGACGUUGGAAAUUUAUUUUCAGUGUCGCAGCGAAAGCGAUAAACACACCGCCUGGGGAGUACGACCGCAAGGUUAAAACUCAAAUGAAUUGACGGGGACCCGCACAAGUAGUGGAGCAUGUGGUUUAAUUCGAAGAUACGCGCAGAACCUUACCAACACUUGACAUGUUCGUCGCGACUUUAAGAGAUUAAAGUUUUCGGUUCGGCCGGACGAAACACAGGUGCUGCAUGGCUGUCGUCAGCUCGUGUCGUGAGAUGUUGGGUUAAGUCCCGCAACGAGCGCAACCCUCACUUUUAGUUGCCAUCAUUAAGUUGGGCACUCUGAAAGAACUGCCAGUGAUAAGCUGGAGGAAGGUGGGGAUGACGUCAAGUCCUCAUGGCCCUUACGUGUUGGGCUACACACGUGCUACAAUGGUAUCUACAACAGGAAGCAAAACUGCGAAGUUAAGCAAAUCCUCAAAAGAUACCUCAGUUCGGAUUGCACUCUGCAACUCGAGUGCAUGAAGCUGGAAUUACUAGUAAUCGUGGAUCAGCGUGCCACGGUGAAUGCGUUCCCGGGUCUUGUACACACCGCCCGUCACACCAUGGGAGUUGGUUCUACCUUAAGGCAAGGUUUCAUACCCUUGACCACGGUAUAGUCAGCGACUGGGGUGAAGUCGUAACAAGGUAACCGUA
rnacentral:rRNA from 1 species